rnacentral:rRNA from 1 species
AACCCCUGUGAACAUACCAAUUGUUGCCUCGGCGGAUCAGCCCGCUCCCGGUAAAACGGGACGGCCCGCCAGAGGACCCCUAAACUCUGUUUCUAUAUGUAACUUCUGAGUAAAACCAUAAAUAAAUCAAAACUUUCAACAACGGAUCUCUUGGUUCUGGCAUCGAUGAAGAACGCAGCAAAAUGCGAUAAGUAAUGUGAAUUGCAGAAUUCAGUGAAUCAUCGAAUCUUUGAACGCACAUUGCGCCCGCCAGUAUUCUGGCGGGCAUGCCUGUUCGAGCGUCAUUUCAACCCUCAAGCCCCCGGGUUUGGUGUUGGGGAUCGGCGAGCCCUUGCGGCAAGCCGGCCCCGAAAUCUAGUGGCGGUCUCGCUGCAGCUUCCAUUGCGUAGUAGUAAAACCCUCGCAACUGGUACGCGGCGCGGCCAAGCCGUUAAACCCCCAACUUCUGAAUGUUGACCUCGGAUCAGGUAGGAAUACCCGCUGAACUUAAGCAUG